CGCUUCUCUUUGAUUUCAACCGAACAUUAAAAAAAUCGAAUAUAAAUUACGACUUAGGCCUCUGAUUUUAGUUACGCGCUUUUAUUUUCAGAUUUCUUGUAGGCUUGGAGACGGACUCUGGGUAUCGGCUAAAGUGUGUUUACUUUUCAUCUCCUCAACAAUAUCCCCAUUGACAAGGGUCUGUUCCAUUGUGACAAUUGUGGAAUCUAUAGAGUUGCUGACCGUGAGUACUACUUCCAUUGCAAGAAAUGUGGUAUGUAUAGGACAUUUUUUUGUAUGUGUGUUAGUGCAGUGCCGGAUUCAGAAUUGGUUACCAGGCCGGGUAACAGAAAAUAGCCAGAAUUGAGAAAAAUUUCAACAUUAAUGUAUACUUUAUGAUCAAGAAAUACAUUGUAUUUGUAAAGCGAGACCAUGGAUUGGGUGGCAAACACGGUAGAUCGAAGAAGAAGUUUAGGAAGGGUUCAAAAACUGAAAAAGAUGCUAGCUACUACCUUGUGGACUCUUGAACAUGGAAAACAUUCCGACGAAGUUUGUAGACAAGCAAAAACUUGAAACCGAGAACCAACAACACAACUGAUUUUGGGUUACAAGUCUUCAUUCAAGUUGGUAUUUUGCUUCACAGACGGAAGAGACCCAGAGUCAACCAAGUUCCGCCAUUCCGUUCGAGUAUUACUUAUGAAAAAUGGCUUGUGUUUUACCUCAAACGGUGUGCAGUUUGACAUGGGGAUUUGAUCAUGUGCAGUCCAAAUCAGUAGACUUUCGAAGCGCCUUUGAUGAAUCUAACCAUGGAAGGAGGAGACAAGUAUUCGGUCAAAAAUCCCUUUGUCUUUGUUCCUCUUGAAGAUGGUGGAACCGUGUUCUGUUUGGGUAUCGAUAAAAGUGAGGAUGUAAACAUCAUCGGGCAAAACUUCAUGAUGGGUUAUCGAGUAGUGUAUGAUCGCGAGAAGAAUAUUUUGGGCUGGAAAGCUUCUAAUUGCUACAAUGGCACAGAAUCAAACACGGUACUAAUAAGCCCGCGGGCCUCUUCCAGUGGUUCUCCGUUUAUGUCUUUGGGGCCCGAAGCAUAAAGAAGUCUUUGGUAGCUUAUAAUGUAAACUGUUAGUUUUUGAUUUCAUAUAUUUUAUUUAAGUAUUUAUUGCUUAUAAAUAAUAAGUGACAUGUAUAACUUUCUCAA